rnacentral:lncRNA from 1 species
ACCGCACCCGGCCCUAUCUCAAGCUUCUUAACUGCACCUGCUAAAUCCCUUUUGCCAUGUAAGGUAACGUACCAACAGGUUUCAGAGAUUAGGAUGUGGACAUUUUGGGGGGCUGUUUUUCUGCCUGCAAUACCUGCUCUCCAGUGAAUCCAUGUUUAGUGGAGGACAACAUUUGAGGCACUUACAUGGAUGCUAGGGGACAUACAUGUGAAUGUUAGGCAAAAGUGCUGCCUGAAGCCAGAAAGUACCUUUUUAAUAUUAGUUUCUUUCACCCAAUUUGAUGUGUUAUUCUAUCCCACUAAAAAUACAUGAACUAAUAAAACCAGAUUUUUUUCA